UGGCUUCAAACCAGACUGGAUUUUUCAAUUCAACUGAUACUGAAGAUGGCUUUGAAGGUUUAGAUGUACAGUUCACCAUGUAGGCUGGUUUAGGUUUUAAUAUCCCUGCUUUGGAUCUAGUGACCGUGAAAUGGCCAUGAAUAGGUUGAGGAGAAUGAGUUAAUUGGUGGGAUUGGAUGUCUAGUGAUAAGUGUUGAGGUUGUGAGGAUUGUCUUUUUGGUAAUGUUUGGAUAUUUGGUGAAAAUGAGGUAGAUAGAGCUGGAUUAGAGGCUAAAUCAUUUGCUCAAGCAGAGGAUGACAAGGGAGAUAUAUCAAGUUGUGCUCCAGUCUGUUGAAGAAGAAAAUGAACAAAAGGACUGACUGAAUUAUUAGAAGACUGAGAUGAGCAAGAACUUGAGGGUGAAGAAAGUUGGAUUCCAAACUCAAAAGGAAAAGAUGAUUC
rnacentral:lncRNA from 1 species